ACUAAAUAGAUACCCAGGUAGUCCACGCCCUAAACUAUGUCAACUGGUUGUCGGGGGAUUAACUCCCUUGGUAAACGAAAGCUAAACGCGUGAAAGUUGACCGCCUGGGGAGUACGGUCGCAAGAUUAAAACUCAAAGGAAUUGACGGGGACCCGCACAAGCGGUGGAUUAUGUGGAUUAAUUCGAUGCAACGCGAAAAACCUUACUACCCUUGACAUGUACGGAAUCUUUCAGAGAUGGAAGAGUGCCCGAAAGGGAACCGUAACACAGGUGCUGCAUGGCUGUCGUCAGCUCGUGUCGUGAGAUGUUGGGUUAAGUCCCGCAACGAGCGCAACCCUUGUCGCUAAUUGCCAUCAUUCAGUUGGGCACUUUAGCGAGACUGCCGGUGACAAACC
rnacentral:rRNA from 1 species